rnacentral:rRNA from 1 species
CCUACGGGGGGCCGCCGUGGGGCCUCUUGGGCCCUGGGCGCCCGCCUGCCCCAGCCACGCCGCGUGAAGGAAGAAGGCUUUCGGGUUGUAAACUUCUUUUAAGGGGGAAGAGGAGAAGACGGUACCCCUUGAAUAAGCCACGGCUAACUACGUGCCAGCAGCCGCGGUAAUACGUAGGUGGCAAGCGUUGUCCGGAUUUACUGGGUGUAAAGGGCGUGCAGCCGGGAGGACAAGUCAGAUGUGAAAUCCCGCGGCUCAACCGCGGAACUGCAUUUGAAACUGUUUUUCUUGAGUACCGGAGAGGG